rnacentral:miRNA from 1 species
UAUCACAGCCGUAUUGACGAUU